rnacentral:rRNA from 1 species
CAGCAGCCGCGUAAUACAGAGGGUGCGAGCGUUAAUCGGAUUUACUGGGCGUAAAGCGUGCGUAGGCGGCUUCUUAAGUCGGAUGUGAAAUCCCUGAGCUUAACUUAGGAAUUGCAUUCGAUACUGGGAAGCUAGAGUAUGGGAGAGGAUGGUAGAAUUCCAGGUGUAGCGGUGAAAUGCGUAGAGAUCUGGAGGAAUACCGAUGGCGAAGGCAGCCAUCUGGCCUAAUACUGACGCUGAGGUACGAAAGCAUGGGGAGCAAACAGGAUUAGAUACCCCUGUAGUCCCUGUCUCUUAUACA